CACAUGCAAGUCGAACGGAGCUGAGAGGAGCUUGCUUUUCUUAGCUUAGUGGCGAACGGGUGAGUAACGCGUGAGUAACCUGCCCUGGAGUGGGGGACAACAGUUGGAAACGACUGCUAAUACCGCAUAAGCCCACGGCCCGGCAUCGGGCUGAGGGAAAAGGAUUUAUUCGCUUCAGGAUGGACUCGCGUCCAAUUAGCUAGUUGGUGAGGUAACGGCCCACCAAGGCGACGAUUGGUAGCCGGACUGAGAGGUUGAACGGCCACAUUGGGACUGAGACACGGCCCAGACUCCUACGGGAGGCAGCAGUGGGGGAUAUUGCACAAUGGGGGAAACCCUGAUGCAGCGACGCCGCGUGGAGGAAGAAGGUUUUCGGAUUGUAAACUCCUGUCGUUAGGGACGAUAAUGACGGUACCUAACAAGAAAGCACCGGCUAACUACGUGCCAGCAGCCGCGGUAAAACGUAGGGUGCAAGCGUUGUCCGGAAUUACUGGGUGUAAAGGGAGCGCAGGCGGACCGGCAAGUUGGAAGUGAAAACUAUGGGCUCAACCCAUAAAUUGCUUUCAAAACUGCUGGCCUUGAGUAGUGCAGAGGUAGGUGGAAUUCCCGGUGUAGCGGUGGAAUGCGUAGAUAUCGGGAGGAACACCAGUGGCGAAGGCGACCUACUGGGCACCAACUGACGCUGAGGCUCGAAAGCAUGGGUAGCAAACAGGAUUAGAUACCCUGGUAGUCCAUGCCGUAAACGAUGAUUACUAGGUGUUGGAGGAUUGACCCCUUCAGUGCCGCAGUUAACACAAUAAGUAAUCCACCUGGGGAGUACGACCGCAAGGUUGAAACUCAAAGGAAUUGACGGGGGCCCGCACAAGCAGUGGAGUAUGUGGUUUAAUUCGAAGCAACGCGAAGAACCUUACCAGGUCUUGACAUCCGAUGCAUAGCUUA
rnacentral:rRNA from 1 species